UCAAGUGCCGCCAUUACAGGAAUGUCCACCACACCCAGGGGUGAGAUUGUUCUUCCUAAUGAUUUUCCUUAAAAGUAGAAUUUAAAGGGGGUCUGGAGAGAUGGCUCAGAGGCUAAGGGCACUGGCUGUUCUUCCAGAGGUCCCGAGUUCAAUUCUCAGCAACCACCAUAUAGGUGCUGAGAACCAAACUCAAGUCCUCUGCAUGAACAGCAAGUGCCCUUAAUUGCUGAGACAUCUAUGUCACUCCUGUUUCCCCUGCCUGUUCAUGAUUUUUGCUUUUUUUCUUUCAUAUCACUGGACAUUAUCUAAGAAACCAAAUUAGUCACUGUGUAGAAUAUUCCCAAAUUUUGGAUUUCUUUGUUUCUUCAUGGUGAGACUCGGGUUCACCAUUUAUGGCAAGAUUGUUCUUUUUCUAAUAAGUAUGUUCUCCAGUAAGUUUGUUAUGUAACUGCUGGGACUUAAACUCAGGGCUUCCUGAUCUCACACUGUUGUAAGUGAGCCAUCUCUCUGGCCCAUGAUUAUUAUCUCCUGGUUCUGACAUCUCUUUCAGAUUUACUCACUGGCCCAGGUAGGUUUUGUUGUCCAUGUUAUCAUUGUUGUGUUAAUUACCAGUGACUUAACAGAUUCCUUCAUUCAUAUUCCUUACUGUCAUGCAUUUCAAGUGCUUUCAAACUGUCCUUCACAUUUCUUCCUCCAUCCCUGACAUUUUUACAUUCCUUUGUACAUUCUCUCCUCAGAACUAGAAUCAUUUCUCCAAGGAGCAGUGUUUGAUUUUAGUGGAGAGCAAGAUCUAGAUGUCUUGUAGGUUCUCGUGUUUCAUCAAAAGACCCAUUGAGUAGAUAGAUCACAGACACACAAACAUACACUUGGUAACUGACUCCAGUCCUGUUGAUGCCAGAGCAACCAGAGUCUCAUUAAUAAGAGAACUUAAGAGGGAACUCAAACAGAAGCUCCAGGACAGCAUCUUUAAAGUGUAAAAGAAAAACUCCAGGGCAGGCUAUCUGUACAUCUCUGCAGCUGCCUGGAGGAGGGAAAGGCAAAGAGGUGUGAAAGGCACAAAGUUAGACUGUCAGUGGCAGGCAAGUAGUUGUUUGGGGUGGGGGGGUAUGGGGUGCUUUAGAGACAGAUAAGGAAGCCCAUAGUACUAAGGAACGCAUAUAGAUGAACUUGCAGGCAGGCAGAUCCAGCCGGACCUCAGAACUACUAGGGACUGUGCUGGUGACAGGAAUUCAGGGAAGGAAAAGUAUGCUAUCUUAACAUGAACCCUCUUCCCAGAGAUGGUUCCUUACAACAUCUGCCCAGCCUGCCCAACUGGGUUAACUCUUAGAGGAAGAGGCAAGGGCAAGUCUCCACCUAGGGGUAGAUGCCAUCUUUACCAUGACCUUGCUUUUGUCCUUGUUCUCCCUGCCCUCUGCUGUCUACUAUUCGUGUAUUUGCUGCUCAUUUGUUGUAUUUCACCAUAAAUGCAAAAUGACUUAAAAGGGUUAAAGUGCUUGUCUUACACAUGCAAAACGCUAGGAUUGAUCCCCAGAACUGUUGGAUGGAUGGAUGGAUGGAUGGAUGGGUAAAAUUACUGCUCUGAUACCACUACAGGUUUUGAAAAGUGUGUGUGUGUGUAUUGUGUGUGUAUGUGUGUGUGUUAUAAAUACGUAUAUCUUUAGAUUUUUUUUGUAUUAUGUCUUUAGAAAUAAAUUUAUACCUGUAAUCCCACCAUUUGAGAGGCAAAGGAAGGGAGAUCACUGUGAAUUCAAGGCCAUCCUGGUCUACACAGUUCCCAGACAGCCAGUGCUAUGUAAAGAAACCUUGUCUUAAAAAAAAAAAAAAAAAAAAAAAACAAAAAAAAAAAAACAAAAAAAAAAAACUAACAAAACUGUAUAAAGGAUAUCAGAGUACUGUGUCCUCAGUUCCCUGAAUUAGGAGGUAGUUUGGUUCAGAACAUGCUGUUAGAAUUCAUUAGCAGAGCAGGCUGCAGUCAGGUCUCCUGGGACUAUACUAGGGUGUUGUUCCUCAUGAAGCAAGGCAAAAUGAAGACAUGUCGGAAGAAGUCUUAACAUUGGCAUCUGUAUAAACCAGAAGACAAUAUCCGUCUUUAGUUUUCCCUUGUCAUAUAAAACAGAACAAAAUUAUUAGCGUUGUUUGAUGAAGCUUUU
rnacentral:lncRNA from 1 species